rnacentral:rRNA from 1 species
AUGCACGCUGGCGGCGUGCCUAAUCCCUGCCAGUCGAGCGAACGGACGAGAAGCUUGCUUCUCUGAUGUUAGCGGCGGACGGGUGAGUAACACGUGGAUAACCUACCUAUAAGACUGGGAUAACUUCGGGAAACCGGAGCUAAUACCGGAUAAUAUUUUGAACCGCAUGGUUCAAAAGUGAAAGACGGUCUUGCUGUCACUUAUAGAUGGAUCCGCGCUGCAUUAGCUAGUUGGUAAGGUAACGGCUUACCAAGGCAACGAUGCAUAGCCGACCUGAGAGGGUGAUCGGCCACACUGGAACUGAGACACGGUCCAGACUCCUACGGGAGGCAGCAGUAGGGUAUCUUCCGCAAUGGGCGAAAGCCUGACGGAGCAACGCCGCGUGAGUGAUGAAGGUCUUCGGAUCGUAAAACUCUGUUAUUAGGGAAGAACAUAUGUGUAAGUAACUGUGCACAUCUUGACGGUACCUAAUCAGAAAGCCACGGCUAACUACGUG